UACGUAGGGACCAAGCGUUGUUCGGAUUUACUGGGCGUAAAGGGCGCGUAGGCGGCGCGGUAAGUCACUUGUGAAAUCUCUGAGCUUAACUCAGAACGGCCAAGUGAUACUGCAGUGCUAGAGUGUGGAAGGGGCAAUCGGAAUUCUUGGUGUAGCGGUGAAAUGCGUAGAUAUCAAGAGGAACACCUGAGGUAAAGACGGGUUGCUGGGCCAACACUGACGCUGAGGCGCGAAAGCCAGGGGAGCAAACGGG
rnacentral:rRNA from 1 species